rnacentral:rRNA from 1 species
GAUGAACGCUGGCGGCGCGCCUAACACAUGCAAGUCGAACGAUUAAAGCACCUUCGGGUGUGUAUAAAGUGGCGAACGGCUGAGUAACACGUGGGCAACCUGCCCCUCUCAUUGGGAUAGCCACGGGAAACCGUGGAUAAUACCGAAUACUUCGGGACUUCCGCAUGGAAGACUCGAGAAAGCUCCGGCGGAGAGGGAUGGGCCCGCGGCCUGUUAGCUUGUUGGUGGGGUAAUGGCCUACCAAGGCAAUGAUGGGUAGCUGGGUUGAGAGACCGACCAGGCAAGAGGGGGCGUGAGACGCGGCCGAGAGUCCUCGGGGGGGAGGGAGUGGGGAUUCUGGAAAAAGGGGCAAGGGCGUGAGGCGGCGCCCCGGGGGGGGGAAUAAAGCCUUUGGGUUGGUAAACCUUUUUCAGAGGGAACGGGGGAAAAGGGAGGGUCCUGGAAGAAGAGGCCCCGCUAACUUCCUC